rnacentral:ncRNA from 2 species
CGCUCAUCCAGAGGGGCAGAGGGACACGGCCCGUUGAAGCCCCGGCAACCCUCCAGUCGGUUCUCGCGAUCGCGCACAUCAGCGACGUCAGCGAGGUCCCCGGCUAGGGAAGGUGCCAAUUCCGUCUCAUGGCGAAGUGCGCCAUGGGGAAGAUGAGGA